AAAUCAAACCCGCCCCGGCCCACCCCGCCCCUCGCCUCGCGCUCAGGCCCGGCUGCCGCAGGACUCGCCGCUCGCGCCAUGUCGAAGAAAAAAGGACUGAGUGCAGAGGAAAAGAGAACUCGUAUGAUGGAAAUAUUUUUUGAGACGAAAGAUGUAUUUCAACUAAAAGACAUGGAGAAGAUUGCUCCCAAAGAGAAAGGCAUUACUGCUAUGUCAGUAAAAGAAGUUCUUCAAAGCUUAGUGGAUGAUGGGAUGGUUGACUGUGAGAGGAUUGGAACGUCUAAUUAUUAUUGGGCUUUUCCAAGUAAAGCUCUGCAUGCAAGGAAACGUAAGUUGGAGGUUCUGGAAUCUCAGUUGUCUGAGGGAAACCUAAAGCACACAAACCUACAGAAAAGCAUCGAGAAGGCUAAAAUUGGCCGAGAUGAGACGGAAGAACGAACCAUGUUAGCAAAGGAACUUUCUUCACUUCGGCACCAACGGGAACAGCUAAAGGCAGAAGUAGAAAAAUACAAAGAAUGUGACCCACAAGUUGUGGAAGAAAUACGUCAAGCAAAUAAAGUAGCCAAAGAAGCUGCUAACAGAUGGACUGAGACCUUCGCAAUGCCAAAUUGUGCACCCCAGCUGCGAGGAAGGAGCAUUACUUUGGUUCUCUCAUCCCUUAAAGUAACUUCCAAAAUGCCAGAUUGUGAGGAGUGACCUCAAACGUGCACCAGACCAACCUUAACCUGAACUUGCAAGUGGAAAAGGAUUAGAAAAGGAAAUGAGUAAGGCUGCCAUCCAGGGUCACUAUGAGUUGGAAUCAACUCCAUGGCAUACAACAGCAACAGCCAUCCAAGAGCAAACAGUCAAGAAGCAGAAGCAGAAGCAGGAGCAAGGUGACAAGUUACAGCAGGAAUAACUUGUGAGGACCCAGGCCAGGAAUCACUGGCAGCAACAUGGAGAUGAACCGGAGUAAAGGAACAUUGGAAGCAGCAACUGUCAGUCUUCCCUGAGUGGCGAGGGGAGGCACAGACUUUUAAGAGAAAAUUCAGAGUGGUAGUAUUAGAGUGAGAGAACGGAAAGAGCUGAAUUUUUAGUUCGAAUUUGAGUGUUGUGUGAGAAAUCAAGAUAGGAAAUGUGAGAAGAGAAGUAGGGGGAAGAAGAGAUUAAUUUAGUUUUGAAUAUUUUGAGUGUAAGGAGCCUACAAAAUUUCCAGGGAGAGAUGCAGGUAUUCAGUCAGUCAACAGUGUGGAGUCCAGGAGAGAAGUCAGGGCCAGAGAUACAGUUUGGGGUACAGAGCCAUUUGAUUGGAUGGAAAUCCAGAGGGAUCAUAUGGAAAGAGAAGAGUAAUAAUGAGGUCUAGGGGAAAUUUGACCCCCUCUCAUUUUUUUUAAGUUCAGUGCUUUUCUCUUCAUUACAAAAAUAUUGAAAAACCAAAAACAGUCCCUAUUAAAGUAGAAAUCACAUUAUAUAUAUAUAUAUAUAUUUCCCCCCAGAAGUUCUUUAUCUUCUGGCACUGUGAGGUGGCAAUUUCAGAUCCAGGAGUGCUGGUGAGGAUUCUUCUCUGGGAGUUGGCUGCUGUGUAGCUUUAGGUCAAUACAAGCACUUUUGUGGAAUCAGCUCAUCAAGGAGUUUAUCAACAGGCCUUGAAAUGUCUGCACAUGAAAUCCCAGGGGCAGGAGC